GGAGCCCUGCACUUCCCUCUUCCUUAUUGUCAUGGCCUGUUUCCCUGACUAAGCUCAGCUCCUCAGCCCUCCUCUUCCUUCUUCCUCCAGCGUCACCUCCUGCCACCCCAACAAUAACCCCAUGAAACAGGUAUUAUCCCCAUUUUAUAGAUGAGGAAACUGACACAGAAGUUAAGUAGUCUGUUGGCAAAAAAGGUCAAACUGUAAAAUAUUUGAAGAGAUUUUAUUCAGAGCCAAAUAUGAGUGACGAAGGCCUGAGUCACAGCCUCAAGAGGUCCUGAGAACAUGUGCCAAGGUGGUUGGAUUACAGCUCGAUUUUUAUAAAUUUUAGGGGUGUCAGAGGCGUUUGAACCAGAGCAACUCCAUCUUGAGGCUAAGACCUACUGGGCUACAUUCCCAGGAGGUUAGGCAUUCUAAGUCACAGGAUGACAUAGAAGGUUGGCACAGGUACAGGUCACAAAGAGCUUGCCGUUAAAAGGAUGCCAUUAAGAAGCCGGAGGCAGGAGAAUCACUUGAACCCGGGAGGCUGAGGUUGCAGUGAACCAAGAUUGCUCCAUUGCAAU
rnacentral:lncRNA from 10 species